UGGAAAUCCUGUGGGUGUCUGACAGCCUGGAGAAGACUGGGAGAGCCAACAGCAGGGCCAGGAGGUCCCUAGUUCUAGGCUGGCCUAAUUGCAGCAUCGUGAUCUCCUUUUAUUCUCUUGGAGAUAAGGAGGAAUGGCUUUUCUGUCUGCGCAGCUUUAUUAAACUUGCCAAAAAUAAAGCCCAGCCUGAGAACACUUCCUUGGACACAAUCAUAGAA